UACGAAGGGGGCUAGCGUUGUUCGGAAUCACUGGGCGUAAAGCGCACGUAGGCGGACUGGUCAGUUGGGGGUGAAAUCCCGGGGCUCAACCUCGGAACUGCCUUCAAUACUGCCAGUCUUGAGUCCGAGAGAGGUGAGUGGAAUUCCUAGUGUAGAGGUGAAAUUCGUAGAUAUUAGGAAGAACACCAGUGGCGAAGGCGGCUCACUGGCUCGGUACUGACGCUGAGGUGCGAAAGCGUGGGGAGCAAACAGG
rnacentral:rRNA from 1 species